GGCGAGUGAAGCGGCAACAGCUCAAAUUUGAAAUCUGGCCUCGGCCCGAGUUGUAAUUUGCAGAGGAUGCUUCUGGCGCGGUGCCUUCCGAGUUCCCUGGAACGGGACGCCACAGAGGGUGAGAGCCCCGUAUGGUCGGACACCAAGCCUGUGUGAAGCUCCUUCGACGAGUCGAGUAGUUUGGGAAUGCUGCUCUAAAUGGGAGGUAAAUCUCUUCUAAAGCUAAAUACCGGCCAGAGACCGAUAGCGCACAAGUAGAGUGAUCGAAAGAUGAAAAGCACCUUGAAAAGGGGGUUAAAUAGUACGUGAAAUUGUUGAAAGGGAAGCACUUAUGACCAGACUUGGGCCGGGCGGCUCAUCAGGGGUUCUCCCCUGUGCACUCCGCCCGGCACAGGCCAGCAUCGGUUCUCGUGGGGGGAUAAGACCGUCAGGAACGUAGCACCCUCCGGGGUGUGUUAUAGCCUGGCGGACGAUACCCCCGUGGGGACCGAGGUCCGCGCUCCGCAAGGAUGCUGGCGUAAUGGUCAUCAGUGACCCGUCUUGAAACACGGACCAAGGAGUCGUCCAUUAGAGCGAGCGUUUGGGUGUAAAACCCGCACGCGUAAUGAAAGUGAACGCAGGUGAGAGCUUCGGCGCAUCAUCGACCGAUCCUGAUGUUCUCGGAAGGAUUUGAGUAAGAGUUUUAACGGACGGACCCGAAAGACAGUGAACUAUGCUUGAAUAGGGUGAAGCCAGAGGAAACUCUGGUGGAGGCUCGCAGCGGUUCUGACGUGCAAAUCGAUCGUCAAAUUUGAGCAUGGGGGCGAAAGACUAAUCGAACUG
rnacentral:rRNA from 1 species